rnacentral:rRNA from 1 species
AACGAACGCUGGCGGCAUGCCUAACACAUGCAAGUCGAACGAGACCUUCGGGCCUAGUGGCGCACGGGUGCGUGACACGUGGGAAGCUGCCCUUAGGUUCGGAAUAACUCACCGAAAGGGGUGCUAAUACCGGAUAAUGUCUUCGGACCUACGAUUUAUCGCCUUGGGAUGGGCCCGCGUUGGAUUAGCUAGUUGGUAGGGUAAAAGCCUACCAAGGCGACGAUCCAUAGCUGGUCUGAGAGGAUGAUCAGCCACACUGGGACUGAGACACGGCCCAGACUCCGACGGAAGGCAGCAGUGGGGAAUAUUGGACAAGGGGCGAAGGCCUGAUCCAGCAAUGCGGGGUGAGUGAUGAAUGCCUUAGUGUUGUAAAGCUCUUUGACCCGGGAUGUUAAUGACAGUACCGGGAGAAUAAGCACCGGCUAACUCCGUG